UACGAAGGGGGCUAGCGUUGCUCGGAAUUACUGGGCGUAAAGGGCGCGUAGGCGGAUGUUUAAGUCAGAGGUGAAAGCCCAGGGCUCAACCUUGGAACUGCCUUUGAUACUGGGCAUCUUGAGUACGGGAGAGGUGAGUGGAACUCCGAGUGUAGAGGUGAAAUUCGUAGAUAUUCGGAAGAACACCAGUGGCGAAGGCGACUCACUGGCCCGUUACUGACGCUGAGGCGCGAAAGCGUGGGGAGCAAACAGG
rnacentral:rRNA from 2 species